UUCCUUGAGGAGUGGCUUCCGGAGCUAACGCGUUAAGUCGACCGCCUGGGGAGUACGGCCGCAAGGUUAAAACUCAAAUGAAUUGACGGGGGCCCGCACAAGCGGUGGAGCAUGUGGUUUAAUUCGAUGCAACGCGAAGAACCUUACCUACUCUUGACAUCCAGCGAAYUUGGCAGAGAUGCUUUGGUGCCUUCGGGAACGCUGAGACAGGUGCUGCAUGGCUGUCGUCAGCUCGUGUUGUGAAAUGUUGGGUUAAGUCCCGCAACGAGCGCAACCCUUAUCCUUUGUUGCCAGCGAUUCGGUCGGGAACUCAAAGGAGACUGCCGGUGAUAAACCGGAGGAAGGUGGGGAUGACGUCAAGUCAUCAUGGCCCUUACGAGUAGGGCUACACACGUGCUACAAUGGCGCAUACAAAGAGAAGCGACCUCGCGAGAGCAAGCGGACCUCACAAAGUGCGUCGUAGUCCGGAUCGGAGUCUGCAACUCGACUCCGUGAAGUCGGAAUCGCUAGUAAUCGUGGAUCAGAAUGCCACGGUGAAUACGUUCCCGGGCCUUGUACACACCGCCCGUCACACCAUGGGAGUGGGUUGCAAAAGAAGUAGGUAGCUUAACCUUCGGGAGGGCGCUUACCACUUUGUGA
rnacentral:rRNA from 1 species